GGCGAGUGAAGCGGCAAAAGCUCAAAUUUGAAAUCCUUCGGGAAUUGUAUUUUGAAGGUGGGUUUGGUUAGGAAAAGAUACUUUAAGUCCAUUGGAAAAUGGCGCCAUGGAGGGUGAUAGCCCCGUAAAAGUACCCCUUUUCCUUUUAUCCAUUCCCUCCAAAGAGUCGAGUUGUUUGGGAAUGCAGCUCUAAGUGGGUGGUAAAUUCCAUCUAAAGCUAAAUAUUGGCGAGAGACCGAUAGCGAACAAGUACAGUGAUGGAAAGAUGAAAAGCACUUUGAAAAGAGAGUGAAAAAGUACGUGAAAUUGUUGAAAGGGAAGGGCUUGCAAGCAGACACAACCUCGGUUGGGCCAGCAUCGGAGUGGGGGGAGACAAAAAAGAAAAGGAAUGUAACUCAUUCGAGUAUUAUAGCCUUUUUCUCAUAUCUCCACCCCCUUCCGAGGCCUGCGNUCUCA
rnacentral:rRNA from 1 species